ACAGGUACCGGUAAAUCAUUAAAAAAAAAAUAUCAACAAUAUUUUGAUGGGGAUUUUUACAAUUUUACCAACGAUUCAGAAUUUUUUUCAUGUUAUAUGCAUUUCUGUAUGAUAUUGUACAAGGUAAUUCACUUUUUUGGGAGAAAUGACUAUGUGAAAAAAAGUAUGUUGUUAAAUUUACUUGGAUUUUGUAAUAUCCGAGAAUGACCAGCAUAGAUCAAUAGUCGAGGUCCACAGUCGGUCUUGUUUGAAGAAGGAAGUGGCGACAGCCUUUACCUCACCAUUCAUUGAGUCCCAGUCCAACUAUAUUAAGGAUUUAAGCCCUGUCUUCAACACAGAUACAAAACAUCUGGUUAUGGAAUUCAGGCAUUGCUUUGUACCAUUCUGGCUUUUUAUCUUGCUUUAUUAUCAGUACUUAAAGAAAUGCUAUUUUGUUGUGUAUGUGGCAUUUGAAUAAAUUAUUGUAUAUUUUGUUCACUUUGUAGUACAAAUUAGUUCAUAUUGUAUAUGAACAAGUUUUAAAUAAAUGCAUUUUAUAAUU
rnacentral:misc_RNA from 1 species